rnacentral:rRNA from 1 species
UACAGAGGUCUCAAGCGUUGUUCGGAUUCAUUGGGCGUAAAGGGCGCGUAGGCGGCGGGGUAAGUCGGGUGUGAAAUCUCAGAGCUCAACUCUGAAACUGCACUCGAUACUGCUCUGCUUGAGGACUGGAGAGGAGACUGGAAUUCACGGUGUAGCAGUGAAAUGCGUAGAUAUCGUGAGGAAGACCAGUGGCGAAGGCGGGUCUCUGGACAGUUCCUGACACUGAGAUACGAAGGCCAGGGGAGCAAACGGG